ACCAGCAGCCAUAUCACCCUGCAGCACUGGCAACCCACUGAAGCUCAGCAGGUGUGAGCUCGGUCAGUACCUGGAUGGGAGACCUCCUGGGAAAGCAAAGGUUGCUGCUC
rnacentral:rRNA from 1 species